GAUACAUUGAAAUCAUGAUGGGAAAGUCAUGAUAUGGAAGGGAUAACUAUAAAUGCUUAUUCCCUUCUCUUUCCCUUCCCAUUCUAGAAUUUUCCCUAGAAUCAAAGUCAAGUUCAUUGACUAAACCCAUGAAGAGGGUACUUUGAAAGAGACUAGAAACUGUCUCUCCUCCCUCCUUAGGGUACACAGAGUGGACAGCUGUCCUUGGUUUAAUCGCCAAUCCUCAUUUGCACGGCCACCAGCAAUCGGGACACAUGAGGACCAACCAUGAGCUGCUGGUUACACACAUACUUUAGCAUGUGUUGUUUCUCAGAGAGUCAAAGCACACAUACUAAUGUACUGCCACGAGAAGCAUCUCAGUCCAGCAGAUCAAGGGGCAUCCCUGCUGACUACUAUUAUGCUAAUGUACAAAUGUUGGCCUGGCUUUUUCAUUACCCAUCCAUGGAAAGAUUACAAGAAGGCUACAUAAGUACCUGCUGAGCUAAAGAAUAAAACCUCAAAGCAGAGUUACUCUGUAGGGUUU
rnacentral:lncRNA from 1 species